rnacentral:ncRNA from 1 species
CGCUUGGCGGGAGAUGAUGUUCCUCCUUUAACCGCCUUUCUUGAUCGGCCUUGUGCCAUUUGCUCAAAAAGGAUAAUGACGUCUAGCAACAC